GAUGAACGCUGGCGGCGUGCCUAAUACAUGCAAGUCGAGCGAACAGACGAGGAGCUUGCUCCUCUGACGUUAGCGGCGGACGGGUGAGUAACACGUGGAUAACCUACCUAUAAGACUGGGAUAACUUCGGGAAACCGGAGCUAAUACCGGAUAAUAUAUUGAACCGCAUGGUUUAAUAGUGCAAGACGGUCUUGCUGUCACUUAUAGAUUGAUCCGCGCCGCAUUAGCUUGUUGGUAAGGUAACGGCUUACCAAGGCAACGAUGCGUAGCCGACCUGAGAGGGUGAUCGGCCACACUAGAACUGAGACACGGUCCAGACUCCUACGGGAGGCAGCAGUAGGGAAUCUUCCGCAAUGGGCGAAAGCCUGACGGAGCAACGCCGCGUGAGUGAUGAAGGUCUUCGGAUCGUAAAACUCUGUUAUUAGGGAAGAACAAAUGUGUAAGUAACUAUACACGUCUUGACGGUACCUAAUCAGAAAGCCACGGCUAACUACGUG
rnacentral:rRNA from 1 species